AAGCUCAAAUUUGAAAUCUGGCACCUUCGGUGUCCGAGUUGUAAUUUGAAGAAGGUAACUUUGGAGUUGGCUCUUGUCUAUGUUCCUUGGAACAGGACGUCACAGAGGGUGAGAAUCCCGUGCGAUGAGAUGCCCAAUUCUAUGUAAAGUGCUUUCGAAGAGUCGAGUUGUUUGGGAAUGCAGCUCUAAGUGGGUGGUAAAUUCCAUCUAAAGCUAAAUAUUGGCGAGAGACCGAUAGCGAACAAGUACAGUGAUGGAAAGAUGAAAAGAACUUUGAAAAGAGAGUGAAAAAGUACGUGAAAUUGUUGAAAGGGAAGGGCUUGAGAUCAGACUUGGUAUUUUGCGAUCCUUUCCUUCUUGGUUGGGUUCCUCGCAGCUUACUGGGCCAGCAUCGGUUUGGAUGGUAGGAUAAUGACUAAGGAAUGUGGCUCUACUUCGGUGGAGUGUUAUAGCCUUGGUUGAUACUGCCUGUCUAGACCGAGGACUGCGUCUUUGACUAGGAUGCUGGCAUAAUGAUCUUAAGCCACCCGUCUU
rnacentral:rRNA from 1 species